UACGGGAGGCAGCAGUGGGGAAUAUUGCACAAUGGGCGAAAGCCUGAUGCAGCUAUGCCGCGUGUAUGAAGAAGGCCUUAGGGUUGUAAAGUACUUUCAUCGGGGAGGAAAAACAAAACUAAUAAUUUUAUUUCUUGACGUUACCCGAAAAAGAAGCACCGGCUAACUCCGUGCCAGCAGCCGCGGUAAUACGGAGGGUGCUAGCGUUAAUCAGAAUUACUGGGCGUAAAGAGCACGUAGGUGGUUUUUUAAAGUCAGAUGUGAAAUCCCUGGGCUUAACCUAGGAACUGCAUUUUGAAACUGAAAUACUAGAGUAUCGUAGAGGGAGGUAGAAUUCUAGGUGUAGCGGUGAAAUGCGUAGAUAUCUGGAGGAAUACCUGUGGCGAAAGCGGCCUCCUAAACGAAUACUGACACUGAGGGUGCGAAAGCGUGGGGAGCAAACAGGGAUUAGAUACC
rnacentral:rRNA from 1 species